rnacentral:rRNA from 1 species
GACGAACGCUGGCGGCGUGCUUAACACAUGCAAGUCGAACGGAAAGGCCUGCUUUCCCUUGUGGAUUGCGGGUACUCGAGUGGCGAACGGGUGAGUAACACGUGAGUGAUCUGCCCCCAACUUGGGUAUAAGCCUGGGAAACUGGGUCUAAUUCCCGAUAGGACUGCAGGGUGGUGCCUGUGGUGGAAAACGAUUUUCUAGUGGUUGGGGAUGAGCUCGCGGCCUAUCAGCUUGUUGGUGGGGUAAUGGCCUACCACGGCGGCGACGGGUAGCCGGCCUGGGAGGGUGGACGGCCACAUUGGGACUGAGAUACGGCCCAGACUCCUACGGGAGGCAGCAGUGGGGAAUAUUGCACAAUGGGCGGAAGCCUGAUGCAGCGACGCCGCGUGGGGGAUGACGGCCUUCGGGUUGUAAACUCCUUUCGACCGCGAGGAAGCCACCUGGUUGGAAGGGUGGUGACGGUAGUGGUAGAAGAAGCACCGGCUAACUACGUG